AGUGCUUAUUCCAUUAAAAGACAAAAGUCUGUAAUGGAAGAAGUUUAAAAUUUUGUUUAAAUUUUUUUUUUAAUGUUAUAACCUCAGUUGGAUCACUGUGGCGAGGCGUAGGAACGUUUUCAAGGCUUCGGCUACAUAAUCGCAAAGCGGGUUUUCAAACGGUUCAUCGACACUACUACCAACAAUUUCUCCAGCUGCCCCAUUUUAUAUCGCCACCUCCGCCACAAACGAAGUUCUCCGAGGAGCCGCGGAGCGGCGCGAGGGCGGGCGCCUCACGCCUCCACAACUGCUGUCUCGCGCCCUCGCCCCGGGCGCCAGUGCUCCACCCAGCUCUCGCGGGAGGAGACGAGGUUUUGAACGAAAAUUCCGAACCCCCGCACGACCUCCCAACGGUCACGUGACUGGCGCCUGCCUCCUAGACCCAAGGUCUUUCCUAGUCGCCUACUGGCUGUUAAC
rnacentral:lncRNA from 1 species